GGGUGUGAGGGUAAUCUAGCUGCGACAUCUGUCACCCCAUUGAUAGCCAGGGUUGAUUCCACUGAUCUGUCUGGCUAAGCAGGUGUCCCCUUCCUCCCUCAACAUUUUACGUGCCUCCAAUCUGCGCACUGGGUGGUAGAGGACAACCUUCCCCAACAAGCCUUCCCUGAUAGAUCUUCCCCAAUAGAGGAGGACCAUUCUUCAGUCAAGGGUAUAGGAGUAGCUGCACUCCCCUGCUAGAACCUCCAAACAAGCUCUCAAUAUGAAGCAUUGUUCAAGGGAGCUUAAAUUUUGGGCACUGUAAUAAUUUUAACUUGUGAAGGAAUUAU
rnacentral:snRNA from 1 species